GAAGGUUUGAUCAUGGCUCAGAUUGAACGCUGGCGGGAUGCUUUACACAUGCAAGUCGAACGGCAGCACGGACUUCGGUCUGGUGGCGAGUGGCGAACGGGUGAGUAAUGUAUCGGAACGUGCCUAGUAGCGGGGGAUAACUACGCGAAAGCGUAGCUAAUACCGCAUACGCCCUUCGGGGAAAGCGGGGGACCUUCGGGCCUCGCACUAUUAAACGGCCGAUAUCGGAUAGCUAGUUGGUGGGGGUAACGGCUCGCAAGGCGACGAUCCGUAGCUGGUUUGAGAGGACGACCAGCCACACUGGGACUGAGACACAGCCCCAGACUCUACGGGGAGGCAGCAGUGAAAUUUUGGACAAUGGGGGAAACCCUGAUCCAGCCAUCCCGCGUGUGCGAUGAAGGCCUUCGGGUUGUAAAGCACUUUUGGCAGGAAAGAAACGGCACGGGAUAAUACCCCGUGCAACUGACGGCUACCUGCAGAAUAAGCACCGGCUAACUACGUGCCGGCGGCCGCGGUAAUACGUAGGGGUGCAAGCGUUAAUCAGAUUACUGGAGGCGUAAAGCGUGCGCAGGCGGUUCGGAAAGAAGAUGUGAAAUCCCAGAGCUUAACUUUGGAACUGCAUUUUUAACUACCGAGCUAGGGGGUGUGUCAGAGGGAGGUGGAAUUCCGCGUGUAGCAGUGAAAUGCGUAGAUAUGCGGAGGAACACCGAUGGCGAAGGCAGCCUCCUGGGAUAACACUGACGCUCGCGCACGAAAGCGUGGGAGCAAACAGGAUUAGAUACCCUGGUAGUCCACGCCCUAAACGAUGUCAACUAGCUGUUGGGGCCUUCGGGCCUUGGUAGCGCAGCUAACGCGUGAAGUUGACCGCCUGGGGAGAUACGGUCGCAAGAUUAAAACUCAAAGGAAUUGACGGGGACCCGCACAAGCGGUGGAUGAUGUGGAUUAAUUCGAUGCAGCGCGAAAAACCUUACCUACCCUUGACAUGUCUGGAAUCCCGAAGAGAUUUGGGAGUGCUCAUAGAGAACCGGAACACAGGUGCUGCAUGGCUGUCGUCAGCUCGUGUCGUGAGAUGUUGGGUUAAGUCCGCAACGAGCGCAACCCUUGUCAUUAGUUGCUACGAAAGGGCACUCUAAUGAGACUGCCGGUGACAAACCGGAGGAAGGUGGGGAUGACGUCAAGUCCUCAUGGCCCUUAUGGGUAGAGCUUCACACGUCAUUACAAUGGUCGGGACAGAGGGUCGCCAGCCCGCGAGGGGGGCCAAUCCCGAAGCCCGAUCGUAGUCCGGAUCGCAGUCUGCAGCUCGACUGCGUGAAGUCGGAAUCGCUGGUAAUCACGGAUCAGCAUGUCGCGGUGAAUACGUUCCCGGGUGUACACACCGCCCGUCCACACCAUGGGAGUGGGUUUUGCCAGAAGUAGUUAGCCUAACCGUAAGGAGGCGAUUACAGUAGGAUUCAUGACUGGGGUGAAGUCGUAACAAGGUAAG
rnacentral:rRNA from 1 species